GAGUUUGAUCCUGGCUCAGGAUGAACGCUGGCGGCGUGCCUAACACAUGCAAGUCGAACGAAGCACCUUACCUGAUUCUUCGGAUGAAGGCCUGGUGACUGAGUGGCGGACGGGUGAGUAACGCGUGGGUAACCUGCCCUGUACAGGGGGAUAACAGUUGGAAACGGCUGCUAAUACCGCAUAAGCGCACGAGAGGACAUCCUCUUGUGUGAAAAACUCCGGUGGUACAGGAUGGGCCCGCGUCUGAUUAGCUGGUUGGCAGGGUAACGGCCUACCAAGGCGACGAUCAGUAGCCGGUCUGAGAGGAUGAACGGCCACAUUGGAACUGAGACACGGUCCAAACUCCUACGGGAGGCAGCAGUGGGGAAUAUUGCGCAAUGGGGGAAACCCUGACGCAGCAACGCCGCGUGAAGGAUGAAGGUCUUCGGAUUGUAAACUUCUUUUAUUAAGGACGAAGAAAGUGACGGUACUUAAUGAAUAAGCUCCGGCUAACUACGUGCCAGCCGCCGCGGUAAUAC
rnacentral:rRNA from 1 species